UACGUAGGGGGCUAGCGUUGUCCGGAAUCAUUGGGCGUAAAGAGCGCGUAGGCGGCCAGAUAAGUCCGGUGUGAAAGUCAAAGGCUCAACCUUUGAAUGCCGCUGGAAACUGUCUGGCUAGAGUCCGGGAGGGGCGAGUGGAAUUCCUGGUGUAGCGGUGAAAUGCGCAGAUAUCGUAAGGAAGACCAGUGGCGAAGGCGGGUCUCUGGACAGUUCCUGACGCUGAGGCACGAAGGUCAGGGGAGCAAACGGG
rnacentral:rRNA from 1 species